GCCAGGUGUGGUGGCGUGUGCCUGUAAUCCCAGCCAUCAGGAGGCUGAGGCAGGAGGAUCGUGAGUUCCAAAGACAGCCUCAGCAACUUAGUGAGACCCUGUCUCUA
rnacentral:sRNA from 1 species